CCUACGGGUGGCAGCAGUGGGGAAUCUUGCACAAUGGGGGCAACCCUGAUGCAGCGACGCCGCGUGAGCGAUGAAGCCCUUCGGGGCGUAAAGCUCUUUCGGCAGGAACGAUAAUGACGGUACCUGCAGAAGAAGCUGCGGCUAACUACGUGCCAGCAGCCGCGGUAAUACGUAGGCAGCAAGCGUUGUUCGGAGUUACUGGGCGUAAAGAGUAUGUAGGCGGCGUCCUAAGUUUGGUGUGAAAUCUCCCGGCUUAACCGGGAGGGUGCGCCGAAAACUGGGGCGCUGGAGUGCGGGAGAGGAAAGCGGAAUUCCUGGUGUAGCGGUGAAAUGCGUAGAUAUCAGGAGGAACACCGGUGGUGUAGACGGCUUUCUGGACCGUGACUGACGCUGAGAUACGAAAGCGUGGGGAGCAAACAGGAUUAGAUACCCCUGUAGUC
rnacentral:rRNA from 1 species